rnacentral:rRNA from 1 species
GAAUAUUGGGCAAUGGACGAGAGUCUGACCCAGCCAUGCCGCGUGCAGGAAGACGGCGUUCUGCGUUGUAAACUGCUUUUAUCUGGGAAGAAAAGGCCCAUGCGUGGGACAUUGCCGGUACCAGAUGAAUAAGCCCCGGCUAACUCCGUGCCAGCCGCCGCGGUAAUACGGAGGGUGCAAGCGUUGUCCGGAUUUAUUGGGUUUAAAGGGUGCGUAGGCGGCUAUUUAAGUCAGUGGUGAAAGACUCCGGCUCAACCGGGGCAGUGCCAUUGAUACUGGAUAGCUUGAGUAUUGGAGGGGUACAUGGAAUUGAUGGUGUAGCGGUGAAAUGCAUAGAUACCAUCAGGAACACCGAUGGCGAAGGCAUUGUACUGGCCAAUAACUGACGCUGAUGCACGAAAGCAUGGGGAGCGAACAGG